rnacentral:rRNA from 1 species
AACGAACGCUGGCGGCAUGCCUAACACAUGCCAGUCGAACGAGAACUCCGGGUCUAGUGGCGCACGGGUGCGUAACGCGUGGGAACCUACCCGUAGGUUCGGUAUAACUCCCCGAAAGGUAUGCUAAUACCGGAUAAUGUCUUCGCACCAAAGAUUUAUCGCUGUUGGAUGGGCCCGCGUUGGAUUGGUUAGUUGGUAGGGGAAAAGCCUGCCAAGGCCACGAUCCUUAGCUGGUCGGAGAGGAGGACAAGCCACACUGGGGCUGAGGCACGGCCCAGACUCCUACGGGAGGGAGCAGUGGGGAAUAUUAGACGAUGGGCGAAAGCCUGAUCCAGCAAUGCCGCGUGAGUGGUGAAGGCCUUAGGGUUGUAAAGCUGUUUUACCCGGGAUGAUAAUGACAGUACCGGGAGAAUAAGCACCGGCUAACUACGUG